CUGGGUGCCCCGCGAGCCACUGAGUCAGAAGCCCACAGAGGCCAGCGGGUUAUCGAGGCGAAAAGGGAGGAUGUCGGGAAGAUUUGGGAGCACGUGGACGACUGCAGCUUUCUCCUGCCGCUGCCCCUCCCAUGCCCCGCCCCUUCGCCUUCCAGACUUCUGGAUUCUCCAAAACAUGGCCUAAUGAAGAGAGGAGGCACUGUGUUUGAACCUCUGCCGGGCACCCAGAGAUUCUUCCUGGCCUGCCCCAGAGGAACACACACGUCCCAUCAACUGGAGGAGUCAGAGUCUCGUCAGUGAGCUCCCCGUCGAAUCCUCAGCGAUGGCGAACGUAUCGACCGCUCGGCACCACUGACAGGUUGGCAUAUACUAGAAAUCUCUGCAUGACGCAAUCCACUCAGAGGAGGGAUCUCACUGGCACAAUCGAUCCUACACACUAGCAGGUUGAGCCCAGGUCUGCGGUCUUUGGCGCCAGCAAAAGGAGCACGUUGGGGAGAGAAGCAGUGUUGCAAGUGUGAAGACUGGCACACGAGGCCAGGGGUCCCACCGAGGGAAGAGACAAGUAAAUGGUGCAGUACUGAAUGGUCCCAACUUGGAUUACGGUGAUAGUUGCACAGCUCUGUGAAUUUACUCAA